rnacentral:rRNA from 1 species
ACACAUGCAAGUCGAGGGGAAACGACAUCGAAAGCUUGCUUUUGAUGGGCGUCGACCGGCGCACGGGUGAGUAACGCGUAUCCAACCUGCCCACCACUUGGGGAUAACCUUGCGAAAGUAAGACUAAUACCCAAUGAUAUCUCUAGAAGACAUCUGAAGGAGAUUAAAGAUUUAUCGGUGAUGGAUGGGGAUGCGUCUGAUUAGCUUGUUGGCGGGGUAACGGCCCACCAAGGCUACGAUCAGUAGGGGUUCUGAGAGGAAGGUCCCCCACAUUGGAGCUGAGACACGGUCCAAACUCCUACGGGAGGCAGCAGUGAGGAAUAUUGGUCAAUGGACGAGAGUCUGAACCAGCCAAGUAGCGUGCAGGAUGACGGCCCUAUGGGUUGUAAACUGCUUUUAUAAGGGAAUAAAGUGAGUCUCGUGAGACUUUUUGCAUGUACCUUAUGAAUAAGGACCGGCUAAUUCCGUGCCAGCAGCCGCGGUAAUACGGAAGGUCCGGGCGUUAUCCGGAUUUAUUGGGUUUAAAGGGAGCGUAGGCCGGAGAUUAAGCGUGUUGUGAAAUGUAGAUGCUCAACAUCUGCACUGCAGCGCGAACUGGUUUCCUUGAGUACGCACAAAGUGGGCGGAAUUCGUGGUGUAGCGGUGAAAUGCUUAGAUAUCACGAAGAACUCCGAUUGCGAAGGCAGCUCACUGGAGCGCAACUGACGCUGAAGCUCGAAAGUGCGGGUAUCGAACAGGAUUAGAUACCCUGGUAGUCCGCACGGUAAACGAUGGAUGCCCGCUGUUGGUCUGAAUAGGUCAGCGGCCAAGCGAAAGCAUUAAGCAUCCCACCUGGGGAGUACGCCGGCAACGGUGAAACUCAA